rnacentral:rRNA from 1 species
UGGGGAAUAUUGGACAAUGGGGGCAACCCUGAUCCAGCAAUACCGCGUGUGUGAAGAAGGCCUUCGGGUUGUAAAGCACUUUAGUUGGGGAAGAAGGUAACUGGUUUAAGAGAUAGGUUACUUGACGGUACCCAAAGAAUAAGCACCGGCUAACUCUGUGCCAGCAGCCGCGGUAAUACAGAGGGUGCAAGCGUUAAUCGGAAUUACUGGGCGUAAAGGGCGCGUAGGCGGAUAUUUAAGUUGGAUGUGAAAUCCCUGGGCUUAACCUAGGAACUGCAACCAAUACUGGAUAUCUAGAGUGCGGUAGAGGGUAGUGGAAUUUCCGGUGUAGCGGUGAAAUGCGUAGAUAUCGGAAGGAACACCAGUGGCGAAGGCGGCUACCUGGACUGACACUGACGCUGAGGCGCGAAAGCGUGGGGAGCAAACAGG